rnacentral:misc_RNA from 1 species
UUUCAACCUAAGAAAACAUUAACAGACACAACCCUGGAUGACUUCACAAUCACUACUGCCAGGGCGGUGCUACUCCUCUCCUCAGCCUCUACCCCACCGUUACAUCCUCCGUCCUCGGUGAUGAUGGGCGCCGUCUUUCAAACCCUAACCUAUUACCUCUCCGAGCAUCCCUCCAUUGUCACUUUCCGAUGGAGUCACACCUAAUCAUGGGGCUCAACCUGGUCAUUCCUCUUCUCCUCCAUUAUCUUAUACCUCGGGUUAUGCGCAUUUGCCCAUCUUUUCUUUUCAAUUCUUCUCUGUCGUGGCCGUGCCAUCCCUCUUGGUCCCAUCCCUG